GUAUGGACAAGACAGGAUGUGGGACCUCCUCUAUGAGAAAUCUGGCGUGCAGUUGGCUUAUCAAGUGUGGAGGCUGUUAUACAACCAUGUUACCGUCAACAAGGACAUGCAACUCAGGCUCGGCUACAUCAAGUUUUUCAGCGAAGAGAUGAUAUUCUUCGUAACGGCGGCUAACGGUCUCUGCUACACCGCGAACCCGCUGUAUUCUAGCAAAAAAGAACAAGAGCUUGCUCCAAAAAGG